rnacentral:pre_miRNA from 1 species
AGCCAACACAGACUGGCAUGCCCCAGCCAUCUCUGGGCGAAUACCUCUUUGAGUGGCUCACUCUCAAGCACAACUAGAAGA